AUCGAACGCUGGCGGCAGGCUUAACACAUGCAAGUCGAACGAGAGGCGGACGGGUGAGUAAUGCUUGGGAACCUGGCUUAUGGAGGGGGAUAACUACGGGAAACUGUAGCUAAUACCGCGUACCAUAGGUUGAGCCCACGUGGGAUUAGGUAGUUGGUGUGGUAAAGGCUCACCAAGCCGACGAUCCCUAGCUGGUCUGAGAGGAUGACCAGCCACACUGGGACUGAGACACGGCCCAGACUCCUACGGGAGGCAGCAGUGGGGAAUAUUGCGCAAUGGGGGCAACCUGACCCAGCCAUGCCGCGUGAAUGAAGAAGGCGUUCGGGUUGUAAAGUUCUUUCGGUAGCGAAGCGUUAACUACAGAAGAAGCAACGGCUAACUCCGUGCCAGCAGCCGCGGUAAUUC
rnacentral:rRNA from 1 species